AGAGUUUGAUCCUGGCUCAGAGUGGACGCUGGCGGCGUGCCUAACACAUGCAAGUCGAACGAGAACGGACUUAAGUUUACUUAAGUUGUCAGCUAAGUGGCGCACGGGUGAGUAAUAUAUAGUUAACCUGCCUCAAAGAAGAGAAUAAUUGUUGGAAACGACUUGUAAUACUCUAUAUGCCUUUAUCACAUAAGUGAGCAAGGGAAAUAUUUAUAGCUUUGAGAUGGGACUGUACGGUAUCAGAUAGUUGGUGAGGUAAUGGCUCACCAAGUCUAUGACGCCUAACUGGUUUGAGAGGAUGAUCAGUCACACUGGAACUGAGACACGGUCCAGACUCCUACGGGAGGCAGCAGUGGGGAAUAUUGCACAAUGGAGGAAACUCUGAUGCAGCAACGCCGCGUGGAGGAUGACACAUUUCGGUGCGUAAACUCCUUUUAUUAGGGAAGAUAAUGACGGUACCUAAUGAAUAAGCACCGGCUAACUCCGUGCCAGCAGCCGCGGUAAUACGGGGGGUGCAAGCGUUACUCGGAAUCACUGGGCGUAAAGAGCAUGUAGGCUGAUUAGUAAGUUGGAAGUGAAAUCCUAUGGCUCAACCAUAGAACUGCUUCCAAAACUGCUUAUCUAGAGUAUGGGAGAGGUAGAUGGAAUUUCUGGUGUAGGGGUAAAAUCCGUAGAGAUCAGAAGGAAUACCGAUUGCGAAGGCGAUCUACUGGAACAUUACUGACGCUGAGAUGCGAAAGCGUGGGGAGCAAACAGGAUUAGAUACCCUGGUAGUCCACGCCCUAAACGAUGCACACUAGUUGUUGCUAUGCUAGACAUAGCAGUAAUGCAGUUAACACAGUAAGUGUGCCGCCUGGGGAGUACGGUCGCAAGAUAAAAACUCAAAGGAAUAGACGGGGACCCGCACAAG
rnacentral:rRNA from 1 species